AACGAACGCUGGCGGCAUGCCUAACACAUGCAAGUCGAACGAGACCUUCGGGUCUAGUGGCGCACGGGUGCGUAACGCGUGGGAACCUGCCCUUAGGUUCGGAAUAACUCCCCGAAAGGGGUGCUAAUACCGGAUAAUGUCUUCGGACCAAAGAUUUAUCGCCUUUGGAUGGGCCCGCGUUGGAUUAGCUAGUUGGUAGGGUAAAAGCCUACCAAGGCGACGAUCCAUAGCUGGUCUGAGAGGAUGAUCAGCCACACUGGGACUGAGACACGGCCCAGACUCCUACGGGAGGCCGCAGGUGGGAAUAUUGGACAAUGGGCGAAAGCCUGAUCCAGCAAUGCCGCGUGAGUGAUGAAGGCCUUAGGGUUGUAAAGCUCUUUUACCCGGGAUGAUAAUGACAGUACCGGGAGAAUAAGCUCCGGCUAACUCCGUG
rnacentral:rRNA from 1 species